GCGGCGGCACUUCCGCUUCCGGCGUGGUGGUGGUGUGUUUGUUUUCUGUUUUCCGGCCUCCGAAGCUAAAGGGCUUCAAGGCUAAGCGUCUAGCCGCCUCAGACCCGCCGCCCGCCCGAUCCGGCCCCUCGGCGGUUCUCGGGAAGAGCACAGAGAAGAGCAGCCCGGCCCAGCCCGUCGCAUCCUCCGCGGGAUCUGCCUCGCUUAGCCCUGCGCCGGGCGAAGAGGCCUGGGGUCCGUCCGAACCCCUCCGCCCCACCCAUUGGAAGUCCCAGCAGCCCGAGGUCGGCCGAGAUGGGGCUUGUGGGACCAAGGAGACAGCAAGAAGGUAUUUGUGCAGCGCUUUCUGUUUAAGGCGCUUCCCGCCCGUCAUCCAACCCCGUAUUCCUCUACGGCAGCCCACAAGGUUCGUAGGGACACCAGGAGCUGCCUGCUACCGACUCAGACCUUUGGUCCUUUCACCUUCCUCAGUCUGCAAAAAAUGUUAGGAAUCAAAGGGUAGUAAAUGUGCAGAAAUAACUACGCUCAUUUCCUACUUACUGGCGAUCUGUAUUCUAGGGGCAGCCUCAAGGAAUUAUAAGCUCCUUAUAAAUGUAACUAUCGGCCCUGCAUGAGCAUUAAAAUUUGGGGGUAAAGAUGAAUGACUAUAUAGUAUGUGGGACUGCUUGGGGACUCGCCCUCCUUCAAAAACUCAGCGAAAAUCCAAGAGGUGACAUGGAAGGCAAUUUUUGGGUGGUGGUGUGCCCAUUAGACUUUAUCAGAGUGACCCAUCUUUGUCUCUGAUAUGAUGGAUGGGAUGUGGGGAAACGUUUGUCUUUCAUAUGUGGUGGUGUUGCAGAUAAAUCGAACACUUCUAGAUCCAGGUUUUCACCACGCUUGCUGACAUCACAGGUUAAUCUCUCCAUCCAGAACCAGGUCUUGCUUUACUGUCAUAUGAACCCCUUGGUACAAUUCAACAGCAUGUGCUUAAUUUGCUCUUUGUCAGAAGUGUGUAGUGCUUUCUGAACAUCUAAGGUAAAGGGACCCCAACCAUUAGGUUCAGUCGUAACCGACUCAGGAGUUGUGGCGCUCAUCUCGCUUUAUUGGCUAAGGGAGCCGGCGUACAGCUUCCAGGUCAUGUGGCCAGCAUGACUAAGCUGCUUCUGGCGAACCAGAGCAGCACACGGAAACGCUGUUUAUCUUCCCACCGGAGCAGUACCUAUUUAUCUACUUGUACUUUUUGGUGUGCUUUCGAACUGCUAGGUUGGCAGGAGCAGGGACCGAGCAAUGGGAACUCACCCCGUCGCGGGGAUUCGAACCACCGACCUUCUGAUCGGCAAGCCCUAGGCUCUGUGGUUGAACCCACAGCGCCACCCAUUUGCCAUGCUAGGGUUGUUCAAAGUACCUACAGUAUGGUACUCAUUCUUAUGCUUUGUAAAUAAGCAGAUGUAAAUUUCUCCUCUGGUCACUUACGUUAUCUCCCUGGAGAGGACUAAUCUUCUCAAGAAAUAACAUGAGUUAAAACAGUGUGUUUACAUAUGUAUGUACAGUGGUACCUCGGCCUACAGACGCUUCAGGUUACAGACUCCACUAACCCAGAAAUAGUACCUCGGGUUAAGAACUUUGCUUCAGGAUGAGAACAGAAAUCGUGUGGCGGCGGGAGGCCCUGUUAGCUAAAGUGGUAUCUCAGGUUAAGAACAGUUUGAGAUUAAGAACAGAACGAAUUAAGUUCGUAACCUGAGGUACCACUGUAUGGGGUAUUUUUUAUUUCCUGUGUGUAUUUGACUGAUAAACCAAUAAAAAUUACCUAACUGGUAAUUAGUUUCAAACAGCCAUUUUCCAUUGAAGUUCCUUGCUCAAGAGAUUACUACAUCUAGGUCAAUAAUAUAGUGAUCUUCUCAGCUAAAAAGGUAAAGGUAUCACUGACCGUUAGCUCCAGUCGCAGACGACUCUGGGGUUGCGCACCCAUCUCGCUCUAUAGGCCGAGGGAGCCGGCGUUUGUUUGCAGACAGCUUCUAGGUCAUGUGGCCAGCAUGACUAUAAGCCACUUCUGGGGAACCAGAGCAGCGCAUGGAAACGCCGUUUACCUUCCCACCAGAGCAGUACCUAUUUAUCUACUUGCACUUUACGUACUUUUGAACUGCUAGGUGGGCAGGAGCUGGGACCGAACAACAGGAGCUCACCCUGUCGUGGGGAUUCAAACUGCCAACCUUCCGAUCAGCAAGCCCCAGGCUCAGUGGCUAUUGACUAUUAUAGUUUGUCGUUGUCGUUGUUUGUGUUGCUCAUGGAUGCUCCAUGACUGCUGGGAGGAGUACAGAGAGAAGAAAUACCAUGGUGUAUUUGCAGCAGCGCAACCGGACGCCUUCAUCUGCCCCAACUGUAACUAAACUUGUCUCUCCCACAUCUGACCUUUAAAGCCCUAAACGGCCUCGGUCCACUAUACCUGAAGGAGCGUCUCCACCCCCAUCAUUUUGCCCGGACACUGAGGUCCAGUGCCGAGGGCCUUCUGGCUGUUCCCUCCCUGUGAGAAGUGAGGUUACAGGGAACUCAGGCAGAGGGCCUUCUCGGUUGUGGAGCCCUCCCUGUGGAACUCCCUCCCAUCUGAUGUCAAAGAGAAAAACAACUACCAGACUCUUAGAAGACAUCUGAAGACAGCCCUGUUUAGGGAAGCUUUUAAUGUUUAAUAGACUAUUGUAUUUUAAUAUUCUGUUGGAAGCUGCCCAGAGGGGCUGGGGAAACCCAGCCAGAUGGACGGAGUAUAAAUAAUAUAUUAUUAUUAAUAUUAUUACUAUUAUUAUUAUUACUUUUUUAUAUUAUUAUUAUUAUUAUUAUUAUUAUUGUCAUCAUCAUCAUCAGACCCUAUAGUCACAGCAGACGCUGCAACCUUCCAACAGUUGACCUCACUCUCAAAGGCACACUCCUCCAUUGUCUCCUGAGACAGAUGGAUGCCCACAACCUGUUGUUAUUUGCAUUGCGCAUGCAUAAUGCCUUAAAUUCAAAUUAAUCUCUGGCACUGAUCAGUUUUGUAGAGCAAUAUUGGUCGCUAACAUUCCACAGCCCCUUUGGUAAAUGGAAACUCAAGAAUUUGUUGCACCAUGCACUCAGGUUAUCUUUUCUCUUUGGCAGCCUGCAAGCCUUUUGGAUUAUAUAAUAAAUCAGAGUUGGAAGGGACCCUAAGGAUCAUCUACUCCAACCCCCUGCAAUGCAGGAAUAUGCAGCUAUCCCACACAGAAAUAAAACCUGCAAACCUUGGCAUUAUCAGCAUCACACUUAAACCAACUGAGCUAUCCAGGUGUUGCUUUUUCUUUUGUUUUUUUAUUGGGUUUUAUAAACAAGAAUAUCGUUAUACAAAUAAGUAUACCAAGUUUCCUCAUGUCAUUUGUAUAUCACAAAAAAUAGCAUACUCUUGACAGGUCUCUCCAGUGUCUGGCUAUCAUGUUUCUGGCUGCUGAGAGUAGGUGGGUUAUGAGCUCUUUGUGGUAUGAGUGGGCAUUGUUAUAUUGGAAGAUUUUUAGUAGGGCCAGUUCUGGGGUGACUUCUAAUACUUGUUUAGUUAUUUUGUAUAUUUCUUGUGUGACUGCUGUCCAGAAGAGUUGGUUAAUCUCAUAGCCUAUGUCAUCCUCCCAUUGUUUUUUGAUUACGUCAAGGGGGUUUGUGGGGUUUUGGAGCAGUAUUUUGUAUAUUGUGGAUACCAGCCCUUUGCCAUGUCCCUUUGUUGUUAGGAGGAGGUUUUUGAAGGUUGUCAAGGGCCUAGUUGCUGCUGAUUUUACAAUUGGGUUGCUUAGGAGGGCAUGUAAUUGGUGGUGUGUUAGCCAGGGCAUCUGGGUAUGCCCUAGUUUGUCUUUUAUUUCUUGUGUUGAUAUGGAUUUGUUGUUUUCGUAGAAGUCUGCUAGGAGGUAUAAGCCUUUGGCCUGCCAGGUUUUUAUCUGAAGGUUUUGUUCUGCGUGGUGGAAUAGUGGGUGGUGUGCCAGGGGUAUUAGUGGGGAUGGGGUUGGGGACAAUUUACCUACUUAUUCUUUCCAUGCUUUAAGCAUGGUCUGUGUAAACCUGUUUAGUGUGGUGGGGAUUUCCCUUAUUUUGUUUGGGAGGAAUGGGCAUGCUGUGGUGGGGGUAUUUUCAGUUGUGUCUCUCUCCAAGUGUACCCAUUGUUUCAUCUCGUCUUCUAGAAUAUAUGGGAUUAUGUAGCAUACUUGGUUGGCGGUGUAAUAUGAUCCUAUGUUGGGGAUUCCCCAUCUUCCUUCUGAGGAGGGGAAGUGCAGGUAUUUGGGGCUUAUUCUUGGUUUAUUAUGUGAGAAUAUAAAUACCGUAUUUUUUGCUCUAUAAGACUCACUUUUUCCCUCCUAAAAAGUAAGGGGAAAUGUGUGUGCGUCUUAUGGAGCGAAUGCAGGCUGCGCAGCUAUCACAGAAGCCAGAACAGCAAGAGGGAUUGCUGCUUUCACUGCUUUCACUCUUACUGUUCUGGCUUCUGAGAUUCAGAAUAUUUUUUUUCUUGUUUUCCUCCUCCAAAAAUUAGGUGCAUCUUGUGGUCUGGGGCAUCUUAGAGUGAAAAAUAGGGCACGUGUAUUUUUUUCUGCCAUUUGUGAAGUUGGGCUGGGGGAAUUCAGAUUAGGAGAGUUUGGAACAGGUAGGUUGAUUUGGGAGGGUGAUCAUUUUGAUCAUGACUUUUGUCUGAGAGAAUGAAGCUGGUAUUGUUCCAUCUCUUCAGGUCUUACUUGAUUUGUCGCCACAAGGGGUUGUGGUUGUGGAGGUAUAAUUUGUUGAGGUUUCUGGUUAUUUGUACCCCUAGGUAUCUGAACUUGGUGCGGGAAAGUUUUAUCUUGGUGAUGUUUGUGAAUUCUUUUUGGGUAUGAGGGGGGUGUUGAAGCACAUAGCCUCAGACAUUGCAAAGUUUACCUGUAGGCCUGACACUGUUGCAAAUGUGUUGAGUUCCCUGAUUAUGGAUGGGUAGGCAAACUAAGGCCCAGGUGCCAUAUCCGGCCCAAUCCCCUUCUAAAUCCGGCCCGUGGACGGUCCGGGAAUCAGCAUGUUUUUACGUGAGUAGAAUGUGUCCUUUUAUUUAAAAUGCAUCUCUGGGUUAUUUGUGGGGCCUGCCUGGUGUUUUUACAUGAGUAGAAUGUGUGCUUUUAUUUAAAAUGCAUCUCUGGGUUAUUUGUGGGGCAUAGGAAUUUGUUAAUUCCCCCCCCCUUCAAAACAUAGUCUGGACUUCCGGGUUAGCGCCAUCGGCGAAUGGCGGAGUUCCUCCGACCGGAGGAACUGGCUCCGUGGAAACUGGGUCUUCCCGCCGCGGCGAAGGUGGGGACCCGCUAGAAAUCCCAGGCGGAGGAAGCCUGGGAACGUGGGGUUCGGCAGGGCACCAGGAGCACCUCCCCUACUCACGGGGAACCCCAUUUCGGGGUUCCGGAGUGAAGUGGGGUGAGCGGCGCGGUGCUGCGAACUGAUUGCUACUUUUACGGAGUGAAGCCGCACAGCCAUUGCCGGAGAGCGCUGACUUUUUCCUGUGGACAAUUGGAUUUAAAACAAGUACCCGUGAGUAGAAACGGAAAAUUGGAUCAAGAAAUACCCUAAUUUGGCACCGAAGCGGGAAGGUUCAAACAGGAAGUCCGCCUUCCGCUUUUUGUACAUAGCCUGAAGCAAAAACCUUGUAAGCUAAGUCUGGAAAGUCGUUAAAAAAGUCUAAAUUUCCUUCAUUUAUAACCACUAAAACCCCCUUGGAAGCAGGAGAAAAGGGGGGGGGGAAUCUUUGUUUAAGCCUGCAGGAGAGGGAGUGAAGAAAGAUAAGUUUCCACUGUCUCAAACCUGGGAACGGGGGGUCAGAGACAGAAAUUGUUGGAGAGGUUCACUGACUGUGAAUGGAAUACUUUGACAGAUAGCUAAAGAAGAGAAAUAAACUGAUUCCAAUGUUGCCUUUUGCAUUCUAAAGAAACAAAAUAUCUGAAAAAUGAAAGUAAUUUUCCUUUGUUGGACUUGCCUUAAAAAGAUGGAUACAAAUAGAAAUUGUCUCCUCUAGAGGGAGCUUGUUAAAUUGUUGCUGCAGUCUACUUGAGGACUCUACAGCUGUGAGAUUAAGAUCAUGGGACCAGUCCUUUUGACCUCGAAUAAAAAUGAGCUGGGAGGAAGUUUUGGUGCUUGCUUUAUGCAAAACAAGUGCUUUGUUGGAACAGAUGCAUGAGAAGAUGGAUCUGAUGAAUGAGAAAACGGAUUUGAUGACUGUUGUGGUCAAUAACUGUGGACAAACAGGGAAUAUUGAUACAGAAACCAUUCAGGGACCAACUCGGGAACCUGUAUUGAUUGGGCAAGUGCAGAAGAUAAUGGAGGAGGUUGCGGUUGCACCUCAAAUAAUACAAAUGGAGAGAUCUGAGGCCCUGCAGGAGCAUAAGCCGCUGUUUUUGAAGAUUGAAGUUGGAGUGGACCAGGGGGAGUCUGGAGCUGAGGAGGUUCUUAACUUCGGAGGGACUUUGAAAUAUGCUCUUAAAUAUUUUUUGGAUUACAUUGAUGACUGUGGGGAGUGGGACUGUGGGGAAUGGGCUGGUUUGAUGAAGGGAGAUGGAGAUAAUCUUGGCCUGGAACUUCCCAGAGACCUACUCCUCAAUGAGAAAGGAAAGAAAUUAAGAAAGAGACCAACAAAAGACAAGGAAAAGUGCAGGUAUAAACAAGAAGAAGAAGAUCUGCAGAAGGGACAUGGAAGAGACUUAAGAGCCUCGGACAUAAGAUUACCGGGUUGAUGGACGAGAUGGAAUGGACAGUAAGGACUGACAUGACCCGAGACCAGGAAGAAGAGACGCUGGAUGAAGAUUGGAAGAAAAUUUAUAAAGAAAAAUUUUUAUUUAGGGAAUUAGUCUAAAAUUAAUGAAUACUAGGGAAAAUGUUGGAAUGAAACUAUAUGGCUUUAGUAGAAAUGAUAUAAGGAGUUAUGUAUAAUUCAGUAUUAAGUUUCAAGCUCUAAGGUAGUUUAUGGUAAGAUAAGGUUAAAUAAAUUAAGGCAAUUUGAAUAACAGAAUAUGGGGAAAGAUGGAAAGGAUUUGUUGCGUUAAUUAAUAGGUUAAAUUGUUAAGAUAAAUUAUUCAAUAAAAAUUGAGAAAGAUGGAAAGAAUUUGCUGAAAUAACUAAUUAAACUAGAAUACAAAAAGGGAGGUGUGAGGAGGUCAAUGAAACAAGCAAAUGGAAGUUAAAGAUAUGUAACAUGGGAUUUGUGUCUUUUUCUUUUUUUUAUCUUUUUGCUGUAUUGUUGUAUUGGUUUUUAUGCUUUUUUCCUUCUUUUUUAUGUAUUGUAGUGUUGUUUCCUAUUUUUUCUUUUUUUCUGUAAUUCUGAAAUUUUUAAUAAAUAUUAUUUUUAAAAAAAACAAAAUAUAGUCUGGCCCCCACAAGGUCUGAGGGACAAUGGACCGGCCCCCUGCUGAAAAAGUUUUCUGACCCCUGGUUUAGGGGGUCUGGUGUUGUGACCAUUAGGUCUUCUGCAAAGAGCCCCAAUUUAUAGGUUCUGCCUUUUAUUUCAGGUGUUGCUUUUGUGAUUGAACAAAAUUACCUCUUCACUGAGCAUAUCAAUGGCUACAUUUGACACUGACCUAGAAUACCUGCCUGAAACCAACUGCAGUAAGCUGUCAAUGAGCUGACUCAUUGGAAUGGAAGUUAGUAAAGAAUGGCCAAAUUCUCAAAAAGGCAAGUAUUUCCCAUCUUAGUUAAUAUUAAUGGAAAUGUGUUCAAUUGAAUUUAAUAGAACUGGGACAUAAUAUGAAACUAGUCUGGGAAGAUCAGUAUUGCUGAUCAUUCCAAUUGCUAAAUGGAGCCUCCAGGACCAGAGGUGGUAUUAUUUGGCAUGCUAAUUGCUAGGAGUGGGGAACAAAAUUCGGAGAAUGGCUGGUUCAUAUUCGCCUAUGGGCUGUGCAGAAGCAUAUGGCUGUCUGCUGUUGAAAACCAUCAGCACUGAACAUUUACUAAGUGUUUUGAAUAAAUUGUAGAAAGGUACCCAUGUUGGCUGACCACAGAGAAAGCAACACUAUUGUGCUUCUUUAAAGACUAGUGCAUGUGUAGUUUAAACUUGUAGGCACGGGCCUCCUUCAGUAGCAUUUGUACGGGCUCCUACCAAAACAUACCACAAUCAAUUUGUUGGUUUUGAAGGUAUCACAAGACUCAUUUGCAUGGCAUGCCAAGCUUAUCCAUUCAUUGCAGUAAAUCUGCAGCCUUGGAAUUGCCCUUAGUUGCUCUUGUACUCUGGGCAUAUUGGCUUUGCAGAAAGAGUAUCUGAGGAAGCCGAGGCAGGACUGUAAAAAGUAGCAUCCGCUCCAUGUGCAAUGUUCCUCUGACAUAUGCAGUACUGUUGCCACGGAGAUAAUGAUUGUCCUAGUGUCAUUAUCCAUCUAUCAACAGUAAGAGUGAAUUUGCUGUAUGAUAUUGUUCAGCAAAUGGAGCAUUUCUGCUGAACACUAAAAACUGCUACAUAUUUGAGUAGGUUCUCUAAAACCAAUUGGAGCAUUAUAUGUUUCAUGUUCUGAAAAUACCAAAAUCACUAACAAUUGCCCUUUGUACAUUUUGCUUUUUAGGUUAAGUGACUUAAAUCUUUCACUUCCAAUCCAGACCUGAAAAUUGUAUGCCACAAAUGCAACUGGUCAGGAACACUGUUAAAAUUCUUAAAUGUACUACAGCUCGUUGCCAUUUCCUGCCUUGAAAAUUCAGCACCACGGGGGCUGAGGUGUUCAGUGGGGACUUAUUCUAAAGUGUGCAGAGGAUGACAGUCUUAAUGUCUCUUGCUAGUGAGAGGGUGUGUGGUAGCUUUACAAACUCAACUACUCAUAGAUGCUGCAUAAACUACAAAGCAGAUUUAUAAAUAACUAUGACAGGAGACCACAUGGUCAUAUGUACUAAACACCAGCUUUUCUGUUUAGGCUGUGGGUGCCCAAGCUGUCUUCCCACCUGCCAAAUUUAUCUCCCCCCUGCAAAGUUUGCUGAAAGGCAAUAGGGUUUUUUUUGUUGUUGUUUUUUUUUUUUGUUUUGUUCUUGUUUUUAUUAUAGAAUCAUAGAAUCAUAGAGCUGGAGGAGACCACAAGGGCCAUCGAGUCCAACCCCCUGCCAAGCAGGAAACACCAUCAGAGCACUCCUGACAUAUGGUUGUCAAGCCUCUGCUUAAAGACCUCCAAAGAAGGAGACUCCACCACACUCCUUGGCAGCAAAUUCCACUGUCAAACAGCUCUUACUGUCAGGAAGUUCUUCCUAAUGUUUAGGUGGAAUCUUCUUUCUUGUAGUUUGGAUCCAUUGCUCCGUGUCCGCUUCUCUGGAGCAGCAGAAAACAACCUUUAUGUAUUUUUAUGCUGUGAACCACCCUGAGAUCUUCACAUGAAGAUAUACAAUCUAUUUUGAUGAUGAUGAUGAUGAUGAUGAUGAUGAUGAUAAGGACACAUGUUGAAAGUCGCCAUCCUGUGCCUUCCUCCUCAUAAAGUCCAAAUGCCUCAAGUUGUUUAGCAGGCUGAAAAGACUAUGCUCUCCUGUGUGCACAGUUGCACACACGUGAACUACACCAUUGGCACAUGGACCCCAACUGCCCCCCCACUGGACUGGAUGUAGCCAUUGGAUGCAAAAAGUUUGCCUACUCUUGCUUUAGCUACUGGUUUAUGCAUUGUUCCAAUUAUAAGUUGACCAGUAACCUGAUGACUAUGAGUAGUAUUAUCAAAUUGAAAAUAGAAUUUUAUUUGAUCAUAAUUUGUAUGCUACUUAAUUGUAAAAACUACUACGUUGGGUUUACAGAGAAUCUAAAAUGUACACAAAAAUGAACACUAAAAGUCAAGUUUACUGUAAGUUUACCUUAAACUCAAAAUAUAAAUAAAAUAAGCAGUUUAAAAUAUACAUCAUAAAAUAAAAUUGCACAUUAAAAUACACACUAACUUUACAUAUUUGGAUAGGUUCAUCUAAACACAUGUAUUUAACUGGUGUUGAAAACAGUUAUAGCAAAGGAACCUGAUGAAUGUAAAUGGUAUGAAAGUUCCAAAUCGAUUUCUACAUUUCAGGUUCUGGCACCAGCUGUUUUAUCCCUAUCUACCAUUUUAAUUAGAGAACAUAUAGAAAACAGUGCUUUUAUAAUGCCUGUAACAUGCACACUGUUAUAGAAUGCAAAGCAGGUCAUUGCAGGGAGAGGGGGAGUGAUGCCUCCUUCCACAAGUAGAGUUUUAUGAAACGGCUGUACACAAAAAUUAUAUAAAAUUGACGCAUCCACUGAAAAUAUAUCUAAAGUAAGGUUGACUUCUUUUUAGAGUAGAUUAAGUUUAUACCCUGCUUUUCUGUUAAAAUUGUCAAAGCAAGCUAACACUGAAAGCACAAUAUAAAAGCAUUAGAAGUACUGUAUUUUUCGCCCUAUAGGACGCACUUUUUCCCCUCCAAAAAUGAAGGGGAAAUGUGUGUGCGUCCUAUGGGGCGAAUGCAGGCUCCUUGGCUUCAGCGAUAGCAACGCGAAGCCUAGGAAGCCUGCACUCCGGAGGCUUCGCGUUGCUUUCGCUGAAGCCAGAAGAGUCUGCUCUUUGAGGCUGGCGGUGGGGGAAAGCAGCACUUCCUCCCAUCGCCAGCCCCAGAGGAUCGGGGGGCAGCGGGAAGGCACGCAACGCCUUCCCGCUACUCUCCGACCCGGUUUUGAGGCUGGUGGUGGGGGAAAGCAGCGCUUCCCCCCAUCGCCAGCCCCACAAGCUGGGUCGAAAAGCCCGCAGGAGCCGUGCAGCCUUUAAAGAGCGCACGGCUUUUGCCUGCUUUUCCCCAAGGAGGGAGAAGGGACUGACUGGCCGAUUUGGUCCCUUCUCCCUCCUGUGGGCUUUUGCGGGAGGUGGGGGAAUUCCCCCACCUCCCGCAAAAGCCGUGCGCUCUUUAAAGGGGCUGUGCGGCUUCUGCUGGCUUUUCUACGAGGUGGGAGAAUUCAUCCACCUCAUAGAAAAGCCCGCAGGAGCCGUGUAGCCUUUAAAGAGCGCACGGCUCUUGGGGGGGUUUUCCCCAAGGAGGGAGAAGGGACUGACUGGCCGUUUCAGUCCCUUCUCCCUCCUGGUCGAAAAGCCCGCAGGAGUCGCGCGUGGCUCCUGUGGGCUUUUGCGGGAGGUGGGGGAAUUCCGCCACCUCCCGCAAAAGCAGGAAGAAGGUCUUGGAGUAGCACACAGGCUGCAUGCAGCCUGUCCGCUGCUCCCAGAGCUGCGGGGGGGGGGGAUAAUAUUUUUCCUUGAUUUCCCCCCUGAAAACUAGGUGUGCCCUAUGGGCCGGAAAAUACGGUACAUAUUUAGCAUGACAGUAUAAAGGAUAAUAUUUUCCAGCUGCUGCUGCUCAAUGUUGUUUCCAGAGCAGAAUUUCUGGGGGUUGGACUUUGAUCUCCAAAACACCAUCCUCUUGGGAGCCAUCUAUGGUUUGUUUUUCUAAUUUAUAUUAGAACCGGAUAAUGCAAGACACUGGAGAAUGCCAAAAAAUUAUUACUACUACUAUCUGAAUGAGAAAUAUGAAUAUGCAGUCACAACUUAUUUAAAAGGCAGAAGAUAGUGCAAAUUGUACUUAACAUUUGUUUACAUGCAUUUUAUAUUUGGAAAACAAAAGCACAUUUGCUACAUUUGUUAUCUUUUUAUAUUUAAACAUUGUAUAUAAUAGAAAUGUAAGAAUCAUUGCAUUGGAGGAUUUGCAUUGCCACAUUGCAAUCCUGGAUUUGCAUAAAGUCAUGGCAGGGGAGGGUGGGAGCACUGAGACAUAAAAAGGGGACAUUUUAAACAAUGGUAGAAGUCUAAGUAGAGCAAGCAGGGGUGACACUGAGGAGAGGAAGUGACUGUUUAAAAUAAGGUUUGAGUACAACAAGAAGGAAGUUAGGAAUGUUAGCUUUUUGGAGUUAGCGUCUGUGUUGAACCCAUCUCUUUAAUUUCUUGUUAGAACUUUUUAAAAAUCCCUCAGUGUUCCACCAUCCUUGCUUUACUCAAACCUUUACUGCUGUUUAAAACUGCCAUUUCUCCUUUCAAUGUUACUACAUAAUUUAUGUGGAAAUGGUUUAAUUUGGUUGCAUACUUUUUGAUGUUUUAUUUGUUUAUGACCACUUUUGUUAUGUUUGCAAUUUAUAUUUUUUCAUGUUGUAAGCCGCCUUAAACAUGAUUUGAACUAGGAAAAGGUGAAACAAAUAAAAUUAUGUAUGGCCAUUACUGCUUUAUUCAAACUUCUGCCAUUGUUUAAAACAACCACUUUCCCCCUCUCACCGUACUACCCUUCUUGCUGUACUCAAACAUCUCUCUCUGCCAUUGCUCAACUGUCUUGUGUGAGAUAAAGGAUGCAGAGCCCGCAAAUAUUCCAUAAUACCUUCCCACAAUGUAUUUCACUUCUUGUACAAUGUGGUGUGCUCAACAUUAAGUGCAAGAUUCAAUGCAGUAAUUUACAGCAGAAGAGAUAUUUUGUGAGCAGGCAAACCACCAACAUGUGUGCAACACCCCCCAACUGAUCUUAACUGAAGAAGCUAACUGGGAGGCUUGCUCUUAAGAUUCCAUUCAUCUUAAAGAUGGAAUAACAUAUCAUGGGUGCAUGCAAAGGGGGAUGCAGAAUAGGAGAGAAGCUAAGGUGUGGAUAUGGGGGUGAUCUGUGCAAGUAUUGUUGGCAUCCAACUUGUCUCAAGAAACAAUGAAGUGCAUCUCUGGGGGUGAAGUCAAACCACUGUGUUAGCAGUAUGGAAGUGAGCUCCCUGUGACACAAACCUGGACUGUAUAUGGAGGUUCUGUGCUGUCCAGACAAGACCCCACCCCUUGGCCUUGCUGAUAUGGUCCAAAGGAAAGCAGAGCAAUACAUUUGGCACCAGUUCAGCUGCAGGUGUUAUCAGAUGCGUAUCAUUUUCAUCUAACCAUUUUAGGGACUCCACUCCGGAUUCGUGUAGGGUUUACUUCUGAGUCUUCUCCUGAAGAUAUCCCACAAGGCAGCGGAGGUUUAGGAUCAAUUUCCUUCUAGAUGGGCUACCUUCCCAGGUGGACAAGCCCCAUCUGCCCCUCACAUACCUCAACAACACCUGCAGAAACUGCCUUCUUGAUCGUUGGACCCCCUCUUGCUCUCAUCCACUCAAUCUGCUGGAGCCUGCCUUUCCAUGCAGGAGAAGUCCCUAACUCGCCAAGGGUUUGAGACCCAUUGGCUCCCCUCACCUGGUUUAGCUGGCCAGAUAAAUCCAUUCUGGGGGGGGGGCGUGGCUGCUAUCGCAUACUGACAGCUUCUAGGAGCCAAAGGUGAGAGCUGAGUGCAUGAUGGGGACCGAAGGUGGGCAAACUACCCCUGGAGGAACAUGACGUGUCCACCAGCAGAGGUGCUACCCCUCUCCAAAUACCCCCACUUAUCUGUGUGAGUAAGAGGCAUCAAAAUAGGGGUGAAGAUUAAAGCAGGGGCAUAAAAGGGUCCACAGAGUAGAAGGGUAUGGUGGCUUCAUAAUUAGAAGGAGAAAAGGAUGCGGGAGGAGGAAGGUGCACGUUACCAUGGGGUAGUUUUGUGUGCAAGGGGGUGUUGCACACAAGGCAGGUUCAUCCACAGGUCAGAAGGAAAACUUAAAGUGCGAUCAGCUUUUUAAUUCAGAAAAGUCAAGGUGAAUACAUUGCUGAGACUUGUCUGACCCCUCCUUCCCUUUCUAGUCCUCUUCCUCUGGACUCCUCCUAAGCAGCCAUAAACUACGAGGAGGAGCCCCUCUGGGCUUCCUCUUCUGUGUCAUCCGGGGAGGGGGGGGACAUUAUUGGGUGUUUAAUGCGCACAACUCUUCCUCAUCCAGCGAGGCCCUGACAUUGGGGUGCACAAAAGGAAGGGGAGGAGGUGGCAUGGGCAUAAAUGUUAAAAAGGGUGGAAAGCAGGUAUGCAGAACAGAAGAGAGAAGUGUCUUCAGAAGUGGGGUUAGGAAGAUGAAAGUGAGCUUAGUAGUUGUAAAGUGUAAUGGUUGAGUGUUGAUGUGGUUGGAGGAUGGGUGGCAGCUAACAGAAGGAAGAUGAGCCAAAGCAGGAAAGCUCAUCUAUUGUACACUUCCGUCAAGCUCACAACAGAUCAUUAUUCUUAUCAAUUAACUCUACCUGCAUUCCAAAGGAAUCCCUCAUCUUGGUAUAAGGGAACAUUUCUCUCUCUUAUUGCCCUUCUUCCUAGGAGUAAGAGCUGUUCUGAAGGUUACUUUAUGCCCUAGCCCUCCAGGGUCAUGGUGCUUGACCAUCAGCCAUAGCCAUUCUGAUGGCCAGGUCUUGUAGAGGUCUGCAGUUUGUCAAGCAUUGCCACCAAUAGGGUCUCCUACCUGUUGAGGUGAUCCUAUGCUAUCAUCAUCCUGGAGCUCAUCCUGAUUUCUAAAACAUGGGUCCAUCUACCCAUGUGAAUGCACAAGGCAGGGACCAUUUCAGCUGCCACUGCUAAUCUCAUCAUCCUUUUCCCUACACUACAGCUUUCUUUUUAAUACCCACUUUAAUGGAAUAUUCCUUUUCAUUCAACCAGAGUAAAGAAGGGAGAGGCCACACAGCUUCUGCAGCACCCCAUGACAGGUGCAAGAGGUGUUCCAGGACCUUAUAAGAAACAAAAGGAGAAAAGAGGAUUGGGGUCAUUGCCAGGUCAUACCAGUAAACCUAGCCAGGACCUCUGAGCCACUGUGAGACCUGACAGCAGCUGCCACCAUUUGGGAAAGGAGUGGGGUGCUAAUGCUGGCAGUAAGAAGGCUUUUUCCUGGAUAUAAAAUCUGCAGAGAAGAUGGGAAAGGUUGUACUGAUGCUUUCCAUUCUCUUGCUAAAUUAGAGAUCUGCCUGAAGACUUCUAAUUCAUUGUGCUCAACAUCCUCUAUGACACUCUGUUAUGAUAAAGGGAAAUAUUCAUAAACCAGAAAAGAACUUGUAGCGUCUUUUGACACUCUCCUGUGGACUUGUAAGGGGCCAGUCUUUAACAAAGAAACCUUUUUUUAAAAAAAGGGUGACAUCAGCAUGAAGCCAUAGAAUCUCAUCUAUAAUUUCUGGAUUGAAUAGUAAUUUUGGGAUGUUUGAGUUAUCAAAUCCUACUGUUGCAAAUUACUGUGUUUAUUUUGCAAUCGUGUAAAUUUUAACAAAUUUGCCCAACUGUAUUUUUUCCCCAUUUCAUCUCUAAUCCUGUAUCAGGAAGUUUUUUUAUGUUUGAUGUUUUAUUAUGUUUUAUAUAUGCUGUAAGCCGCCCAGAGUAGCUGGGGAAACCCAGCCAGCUGGGUAGGGUAUAAAUAAAUAUUAUUAUUAUUAUUCCAUUUGAACUCAUUAUUUACAUUCCCCCCUCCACAAACAUGUAUACAGACACCUACCAAUUGAAUAUAACACUUCAUGGAACUGAUGAAAUAGCUUCUAGUCAGUUAGGUCAGUAAGGCAGAAAAACUUUU
rnacentral:lncRNA from 1 species